GACGAACGCUGGCGGCGUGCCUAAUACAUGCAAGUUGAGCGAUGAAGAUUGGUGCUUGCACCAAUUUGAAGAGCAGAGAACGGGUGAGUAACGCGUGGGGAAUCUGCCUUUGAGCGGGGGACAACAUUUGGAAACGAAUGCUAAUACCGCAUAACAACUUUAAACAUAAGUUUUAAGUUUGAAAGAUGCAAUUGCAUCACUCAAAGAUGAUCCCGCGUUGUAUUAGCUAGUUGGUGCGGUAAAGGCUCAUCAGGGCGAUGAUACAUAGCCGAACGGAGAGGGUGAUCGGCCACCUUGGGACUGAGACAGGGCACAAAGGCCUACGGGAGGCAGCAGUAGGGAAUCUUCAGGAAUGGACGAAAGUCAGACCGAGCAAGGCCGCGUGCGGGAAGAGGGUUUUCGGAUCGGAAAAGUCUGUUUGUAGGGAGGAACGUUGGUGAGAGUGGAAAGCACAGCAAGUGACGGUAACUACUCAGAAAGGGACGGCUAACUACGUG
rnacentral:rRNA from 1 species